UGCAGUCGAACGCACCCUUCGGGGUGAGUGGCAGACGGGUGAGUAACACGUGGGAACGUACCCUUCGGUUCGGAAUAACUCAGGGAAACUUGAGCUAAUACCGGAUACGCCCUAACGGGGAAAGAUUUAUCGCCGAAGGAUCGGCCCGCGUCUGAUUAGCUAGUUGGUGGGGUAAUGGCCCACCAAGGCGACGAUCAGUAGCUGGUCUGAGAGGAUGAUCAGCCACACUGGGACUGAGACACGGCCCAGACUCCUACGGGAGGCAGCAGUGGGGAAUAUUGGACAAUGGGCGAAAGCCUGAUCCAGCCAUGCCGCGUGAGUGAUGAAGGCCUUAGGGUUGUAAAGCUCUUUUAUCCGGGAAGAUAAUGACUGUACCGGAAGAAUAAGCCCCGGCUAGCUUCGUGCCAGCAGCCGCGGUAAUACGAAGGGGGCUAGCGUUGCUCGGAAUUACUGGGCGUAAAGGGCGCGUANGCGGCCGUUCAAGUCAGAGGUGAAAUCCCAAGGCUCAACCUUGGAAUUGCCUUUGAUACUGUUCGGCUCGAGACC
rnacentral:rRNA from 1 species